rnacentral:rRNA from 1 species
CUCUCGACCCCGAAGUCGCUUGGUGGUAUGGGUUUUCGCGAUAUGGCGCUAUUCGACCAGGCAAUGCUCGGUAAGCAGGGAUGGUGGCUCCUCACUGUACCUGAUUCACUUUGUGCUCGUGUUCUGAAGGGCAAAUACUAUCCAACCGGGGACUUUUGAAAUGCCACGAUGCCUCGAACUGCCUCGGCGACCUGGCGUGGUAUCCUACAUGGUCGGGACUUGCUGAAAAGAGGUGUUCAGUGGGGGCAUUGGUGA